AGUUUCUAGAUACUUUGGAUUAAGUUACAUCUCAUUAAAAAAUCCCAAGCAAGACGCGAAAGAGCUAAGAGACUUCAAUAAACUUACUAAAGAUGUUAUCAGACCAUACAGAAUUCAAAAUGAUAUCAUUAGUUUGGCGAUUUCACAAGACCUUGGAGUUUUACAUGGUGAUUGGGUUUCUAAACCAUGGUUUAUAUCUUUAUCACAGUGUUCGUCUUUAAAUGGGUAUGGUGAAUUUAGACGGAUGUAUAGUCAAGUGAAAGAAUAUAUGGAUGGAAAGACAAUUUUUUUUAAUACAGUGGGGCCUGUUCUGUUUCAAACCGAGGAUGUAUCACCUUACAUAAAAUCUGACUAUCUGGGUUCCGAUGAUCAGGUAACAGACGAUAAUUCUAUGAAUGAUGGUUCCAUGGACGUUACUGCGGAAAACGAGGUUGAUAAUGCUAACAGUUCCGACCAAAAUAAAGCCAGUUUAAAUGGUGAAAUUAACACCGAAGACAUCGAUAGUGCCGCUCCCUAAUACAUUUCAAGUUUUCUAAUAAACUCUUUAUUUGAGAUUAUUUACGCUAUGGUUGAA